rnacentral:rRNA from 1 species
GACGAACGCUGGCGGCGUGCUUAACACAUGCAAGUCGAACGGAAAGGCCCUGCUUUUGUGGGGUGCUCGAGUGGCGAACGGGUGAGUAACGCGUGAGUAACCUGCCCUUGACUUUGGGAUAACUUCAGGAAACUGGGGCUAAUACCGGAUAGGAGCUCCUGCUGCAUGGUGGGGGUUGGAAAGUUUCGGCGGUUGGGGAUGGACUCGCGGCUUAUCAGCUUGUUGGUGGGGUAGUGGCUUACCAAGGCUUUGACGGGUAGCCGGCCUGAGAGGGUGACCGGCCACAUUGGGACUGAGAUACGGCGCAGACUCCUACGGGAGGCAGCAGGGGGGAAUAUUGCACAAUGGGCGGAAGCCUGAUGCAGCAACGCCGCGUGCGGGAUGACGGCCUUCGGGUUGUAAACCGCUUUCGCCUGUGACGAAGCGUGAGUGACGGUAAUGGGUAAAGAAGCACCGGCUAACUACGUG